rnacentral:rRNA from 1 species
AGAGUUUGAUCCUGGCUCAGAUUGAACGCUGGCGGCAGGCUUAACACAUGCAAGUCGAGCGGUAACAGAGAUAGCUUGCUAUCUGCUGACGAGCGGCGGACGGGUGAGUAAUGCUUGGGAAUAUGCCUUUGAGUGGGGGACAACAGUUGGAAACGACUGCUAAUACCGCAUAACGUCUACGGACCAAAGGGGGGGAUCUUCGGACCUCUCGCUCAUUGAUUAGCCCAAGUGAGAUUAGCUAGUUGGUAAGGUAAUGGCUUACCAAGGCGACGAUCUCUAGCUGGUUUGAGAGGAUGAUCAGCCACACUGGGACUGAGACACGGCCCAGACUCCUACGGGAGGCAGCAGUGGGGAAUAUUGCACAAUGGGCGAAAGCCUGAUGCAGCCAUGCCGCGUGUGUGAAGAAGGCCUUCGGGUUGUAAAGCACUUUCAGUUGUGAGGAAAGGGGUGUAGUUAAUAGCUGCAUCCUGUGACGUUAACAACAGAAGAAGCACCGCUAACUU